UUGACCUCGGAUCAGGUAGGGAUACCCGCUGAACUUAAGCAUAUCAAUAAGCGGAGGAAAAGAAACCAACAGGGAUUGCCUC
rnacentral:rRNA from 16 species